rnacentral:rRNA from 1 species
UACAGGGGGUGCAAACGUUGCUCGGAAUUAUUGGGCGUAAAGCGCACGUAGGCGGUCUGUUAUGUCGGAUGUGAAAGCCCUUGGCUCAACUGAGGAAGUGCAUCCGAAACUGGCAGGCUAGAGUACGUAAGAGGGUCGCGGAAUUCCCGGUGUAGAGGUGAAAUUCGUAGAUAUCAGGAGGAACACCGAUUGCGAAGGCAGCUCGCUGGGACGUUACUGACGCUGAGACGCGAAAGCGUGGGGAGCAAACAGG